GACGAACGCUGGCGGCGUGCCUAAUACAUGCAAGUAGAACGCUGAAGGAGGAGCUUGCUCUUCUGGAUGAGUUGCGAACGGGUGAGUAACGCGUAGGUAACCUGCCUGGUAGCGGGGGAUAACUAUUGGAAACGAUAGCUAAUACCGCAUAACAGUAGAUGUUGCAUGACAUUUGCUUAAAAGGUGCAAUUGCAUCACUACCAGAUGGACCUGCGUUGUAUUAGCUAGUUGGUGGGGUAACGGCUCACCAAGGCGACGAUACAUAGCCGACCUGAGAGGGGGAUCGGCCACACUGGGACUGGGACACGGCCCAGACUCCUACGGGAGGCAGCAGUAGGGAAUCUUCGGCAAUGGACGGAAGUCUGACCGAGCAACGCCGCGGGAGUGAAGAAGGUUUUCGGAUCGUAAAGCUCUGUUGUAAGAGAAGAACGAGUGUGAGAGUGGAAAGUUCACACUGUGACGGUAUCUUACCAGAAAGGGACGGCUAACUACGUG
rnacentral:rRNA from 1 species